UGAUGAUACAUCAGAAGGAAGAUUAUCUGCUUCUAGAACACUGUUGGCCAUGAGUAACUGAAAUAGCAGAAAGUAAAAUCAUGGAUAAGAGGCGAUUGCCUACUAGUUUGCCACAAGGAAAACUAACCUGGUGUCCAGGACCAAGGAUCUUUGACUUGAAAGCCAUCACCUGCAUUUAUUUGGAGCUCAUCAUUUUGGGAACUGGAUGUGGUUGUGAUAUAAGCUGACUCUACUCUUGUGGUGAUCCAUGGUCAAGGCUGCAGUGGAGCUGACUUAUAAAGAUGAAGCAAACAUGGACAAAGCCAGACUUCAAUGACCAUGGACAUUCCUGUGAGCCUCUGGGAAGAAGUAGGGAGCCAACAGGGGCCAUAUCCUUUGUCUAAUGCUCAUACCGAUUAUAGUCUUUGCACCAUUUCUCUGCUAGUUUGGAAAUAAACUGAAAUAAA